rnacentral:tRNA from 1 species
GCCGGCGUAGCUCAGUGGUAGAGCACCUCACUCAUAAAGAGGUUGUCGCAGGUUCGAUCCCUGCCGUCGGCA